GACACACUAUCAUUAACUGAAUCCAUAGGUUAAUGAGGCGAACCGGGGGAACUGAAACAUCUAAGUACCCCGAGGAAAAGAAAUCAACCGAGAUUCCCCCAGUAGCGGCGAGCGAACGGGGAGGAGCCCAGAGCCUGAAUCAGUGUGUGUGUUAGUGGAAGCGUCUGGAAAGGCGCGCGAUACAGGGUGACAGCCCCGUACACAAAAAUGCACAUGCUGUGAGCUCGAUGAGUAGGGCGGGACACGUGGUAUCCUGUCUGAAUAUGGGGGGACCAUCCUCCAAGGCUAAAUACUCCUGACUGACCGAUAGUGAACCAGUACCGUGAGGGAAAGGCGAAAAGAACCCCGGCGAGGGGAGUGAAAAAGAACCUGAAACCGUGUACGUACAAGCAGUGGGAGCACAGAGCAAUCUGUGUGACUGCGUACCUUUUGUAUAAUGGGUCAGCGACUUAUAUUCUGUAGCAAGGUUAACCGAAUAGGGGAGCCGAAGGGAAACCGAGUCUUAACUGGGCGUUAAGUUGCAGGGUAUAGACCCGAAACCCGGUGAUCUAGCCAUGGGCAGGUUGAAGGUUGGGUAACACUAACUGGAGGACCGAACCGACUAAUGUUGAAAAAUUAGCGGAUGACUUGUGGCUGGGGGUGAAAGGCCAAUCAAACCGGGAGAUAGCUGGUUCUCCCCGAAAGCUAUUUAGGUAGCGCCUCGUGAAUUCAUCUCCGGGGGUAGAGCACUGUUUCGGCAAGGGGGUCAUCCCGACUUACCAACCCGAUGCAAACUGCGAAUACCGGAGAAUGUUAUCACGGGAGACACACGGCGGGUGCUAACGUCCGUCGUGAAGAGGGAAACAACCCAGACCGCCAGCUAAGGUCCCAAAGUCAUGGUUAAGUGGGAAACGAUGUGGGAAGGCCCAGACAGCCAGGAUGUUGGCUUAGAAGCAGCCAUCAUUUAAAGAAAGCGUAAUAGCUCACUGGUCGAGUCGGCCUGCGCGGAAGAUGUAACGGGGCUAAACCAUGCACCGAAGCUGCGGCAGCGACACUGUGUGUUGUUGGGUAGGGGAGCGU
rnacentral:rRNA from 1 species